GAUGAACGCUGGCGGCGUGCCUAAUACAUGCAAGUCGAGCGAACAGACGAGGAGCUUGCUCCUCUGACGUUAGCGGCGGACGGGUGAGUAACACGUGGAUAACCUACCUAUAAGACUGGGAUAACUUCGGGAAACCGGAGCUAAUACCGGAUAAUAUAUUGAACCGCAUGGUUCAAUAGUGAAAGACGGUUUUGCUGUCACUUAUAGGUGGAUCCGCGCCGCAUUAGCUAGUUGGUAAGGUAACGGCUUACCAAGGCAACGAUGCGUAGCCGACCUGAGAGGGUGAUCGGCCACACUGGAACUGAGACACGGUCCAGACUCCUACGGGAGGCAGCAGUAGGGAAUCUUCCGCAAUGGGCGAAAGCCUGACGGAGCAACGCCGAGUGAGUGAUGAAGGUCUUCGGAUCGUAAAACUCUGUUAUUAGGGAAGAACAAAUGUGUAAGUAACUAUGCACGUCUUGACGGUACCUAAUCAGAAAGCCACGGCUAACUACGUG
rnacentral:rRNA from 1 species